GCCUUCGUGGUGUAAUGGUCAGCACAUUGAGCCGAAUUUCAGAGGUCCGUGGUUCGAUCCCCGGCGAAGGCA
rnacentral:tRNA from 1 species